AUUACGCAGGGAUUGUUGUAUUCAAUUUUGGAUUGUGGACUGUGUCUAGUUUUGUGUUAUCUGAAAAAUGGCUAAUUUUUACACAAAUUCUGAAAUGAUGGAUAUUCAUUUUAUGUGUGGCAGAGCAAAGGGCAAUGGCACAAAUACAGAAUAAACCCGGAAUCUUUGAACGUGUUCGAUCUUCAAUGAGACGUGCCGAAUUGUGUGUUGAAAUGAACGGAGGACACAUUGAACAUUUAUUGGUGUCUCAGAACAAUAUUCGAAGGAAGCAUAGUAUGGAUUGAAGUACAUAACAUUGAAGCCCAAUAUCGUUUUGUGAUAUUCGCAAUAAUUAUCGAGCAGGUCUUCAGAUGUAACAGAUCUAUCAGAUGUUCAGUCUAAUCAAGCAGAUGUCGCUACAGCUCAUCUACACAGCAUAUCUUACAUGAUCAUUCAAAAAUCUUCUUUAAUUAAUAUCUCAAUAAUUAUCGCAAAAUGGAAUAUAAGACUUUUAUGUUCACUUUUUAUGUUCACAAAGUUGUUCUGGGAGACCGUAUAGAAUUCAUUUUAUUAUUUAUUUGUACCAAUCUUGUAAAAUAAGAAAUCUGAUCUUCUUUAGUUGAACUAAUGCUGCACUAAAACUUCUUCCUUUUUCCUUUAAUUGAAAUAAAUCAAAAGUAAGAGAAAUAAAGCAAUCAAGAGUCAAUCGCGGAUAUUAGUGUGAAUAAUCAUUUUUAAAUCAGAGAUAACAGUUAUAUUUUUUAACACGAUUUUUCCCGGAAUUGCAACGUAUGCGAAGAACCCACCUUCUAAAACUUAUCUUAAAUCUCAAUUAUUAAUCUUAACUAAUCUUUAUUAAUCUUAACUAAUCUAAAAAUUUCCAAUUCCCAAUUAAAUAAUGAAUUAAUCAACUCAUCUUUAAUAAUUACGAAAAAUACUGCCUCAGCCAACAAGCUAGAUUAAAUACUUGGCUCACUUUAGACUGCCGGCAAAGCCACAAAAGUGGCUUUAUAGCCACAAAAGUGGCUUUCCCAGCAAUCUAAAGGUUAAAAGCAAAAAGUGCAACCUAGUUCAACUAAAAUUAACAGAUCUAAGAAUAAUAAAUACAAUUUUGCAAGUAUUGCA